rnacentral:RNase_P_RNA from 1 species
GAAAGAGUGCGGUAAGAGCGCACCGCGCGGCUGGUAACAGUCCGCGGCACGGUAAACUCCACCCGGAGCAAGGCCAAAUAGGGGUUCAUAAGGUACGGCCCGUACUGAACCCGGGUAGGCUGCUUGAGCCAGUGAGCGAUUGCUGGCCUAGAUGAAUGACUGUCCACGACAGAACCCGGCUUAUCGGUCAGUUUCACCU